rnacentral:rRNA from 1 species
UAGCGGCGAGCGAAGCGGGAAGAGCUCAAAUUUGUAAUCUGGCGUCCUUUGGGCGUCCGAGUUGUAAACUACAGAGGCGUUUUCCGCGCCGGACCGUGUGCAAGUCCCCUGGAAUGGGGUAUCAAAGAGGGUGAGAAUCCCGUGCUUCACACGACGACCGGGGCUAUGUGAUACGUUCUCGACGAGUCGAGUUGUUUGGGAAUGCAGCUCAAAACGGGUGGUAGACUCCAUCUAAAGCUAAAUACGGGCGAGAGACCGAUAGCGAACAAGUACCGUGAGGGAAAGAUGAAAAGCACUUUGGAAAGAGAGUGAAACAGUAUGUGAAAUCGUUGAGAGGGAAACGAUUGAAGCCAAUCGUGUCCCUCGGGAUCAGCCGGUUCUGCCGGUGCACUCCCGUUGGAUGGGUCAACGUCGGUUUGGGACGGUGGAUUAGGGCGCGGGGAACGUGGCACCUCCGGGUGUGUUAUAGCCCCGUGUCGGAAACGCUGGCCCGGACCGAGGAUCGCGACGCAAGUCGAGGAUGUUGGCGCAAUGGCUUUAAACGACCCGUCUUGAAACACGG